UAGGGAAUCUUCGGCAAUGGACGAAAGUCUGACCGAGCAACGCCGCGUGAGUGAAGAAGGUUUUCGGAUCGUAAAACUCUGUUGUUAGAGAAGAACAAGGACGUUAGUAACUGAACGUCCCCUGACGGUAUCUAACCAGAAAGCCACGGCUAACUACGUGCCAGCAGCCGCGGUAAUACGUAGGUGGCAAGCGUUGUCCGGAUUUAUUGGGCGUAAAGCGAGCGCAGGCGGUUUCUUAAGUCUGAUGUGAAAGCCCCCGGCUCAACCGGGGAGGGUCAUUGGAAACUGGUAGACUUGAGUUCAGAAGAGGAGAGUGGAAUUCCAUCUGUAGCGUUGAAAUGCGUGGAUAUUUGGAGGAACACCAGUGGCGAAGGCGGCUCUCUGGUCUGUAACUGACGCUGAGGCUCGAAAGCGUGGGGAGCAAACAGG
rnacentral:rRNA from 1 species